AUGCAAGACAUGGUAUGCUAUCAAGCCGACCUCUUUUGUGUCAUUUUGUUUAUGCUUGCGUGUUCAUUUUGCAAACCAUUUUGCCAAUAUGCUUGCAUGAAAUACAUUUGUAGGCAUUUCAAGCUUUGGAGGCGUUCAAGGUCCAACACAAUGGCAAGUGCUUCAACCUCUCCCAUUGCUUUAGGGUCAUCAAAGACGAGGAGAAGUUCAAGGUGCAAUAUGCCACCCUCAAGUCGCAUGGGUGGAAGCAAGCCGUGGAGGAGGUUGGGGACAUCGAGAAGGCACGACCGCGGGGGGAGACCAACUCCAAGAAGGAGGACAAGCAGGAUGCGGCGUCGAACGCCUUGA
rnacentral:rRNA from 1 species